CUGUAGGCCAAGAGGAAGAGGAGGAACAAAGGUGCCUGGUUUAAGGGGAGAACGAGACCACAGACUACUGACAACAUCAUGAUGUUCCCCUCCAGCCACAAGACCUGGCAGUGGAUGGGGAGACAGGGACCCCCGAGACGCUGAGUUCAGCUCGGGACAUCCCGGUGGAGCCCCUGGUGGGAAGCAGCUGUUCUACCUGCCAGGACACGAGCCCGGGACCGCACAGAUGCAGUGACACCCAGUGCCCGGCACAGCAGGAGGAGCCCAUGUGCCCGAGCUCUCUGGAUGAGGCCUGCACGAUGCUGACCCUCGGCGAAAGAACUGUGGAGAUGUUGGUCUCCCUGAUGCAAACCUCCCCUGGGCGGAAGUUCUCCUCUGUUACCACCAUCCUUCCUACCGGCCUGGCCUUCCCCAUUCC